rnacentral:rRNA from 1 species
GAUGAACGCUGGCGGCGUGCCUAAUACAUGCAAGUCGAGCGAACGGACGAGAAGCUUGCUUUUCUGAUGUUAGCGGCGGACGGGUGAGUAACACGUGGAUAACCUACCUAUAAGACUGGGAUAACUUCGGGAAACCGGAGCUAAUACCGGAUAAUAUUUUGAACCGCAUGGUUCAAAAGUGAAAGACGGUCUUGCUGUCACUUAUAGAUGGAUCCGCGCUGCAUUAGCUAGUUGGUAAGGUAACGGCUUACCAAGGCAACGAUGCAUAGCCGACCUGAGAGGGUGAGCGGCCACACUGGAACGGAGACACGGUCCAGACUCCUACGGGAGGCAGCAGUAGGGAAUCUUCCGCAAUGGGCGAAAGCCUGACGGAGCAACGCCGCGUGAGUGAUGAAGGUCUUCGGAUCGUAAAACUCUGUUAUUAGGGAAGAACAUAUGUGUAAGUAACUGUGCACAUCUUGACGGUAACUAAUCAGAAAGCCACGGCUAACUACGUG